rnacentral:tRNA from 1 species
GCCCGCAUAGCUCAAUGGUAGAGCAGUGCCCUUCUAAGGCAAAGGUUACAGGUUCGAUCCCUGUUGUGGGUACCA